UAAAGUGGCAUGAGUGUAUGUGUGCUGACUAGAGUUCAUUGUACUGUAUGCUGUAUGCAUCAGUGUGGAAAAUGAUAACUGAUAAAUGCAAGUGAGGAUAUUUCAAUAUCUACGAUACACAAAUAAACUGACAGCACCACAAAAUCGACACAGCAUUUAUUUAUUUAUUUCAGAAACCUUAAUACUGUGAUCACUGCAAAUGUCUUAUUCAUACCUUUACAUUUUACAAAGACAAUGGAUCUGGGAUGUAAACAGUAUUUUCAAUUGUUUAAAACGUAUGGUCCUCUUAAAAUAGUGUGCUUUGUUUCCAGUCAGAGCGGAUCACCUCACCGUUUCCUCUGUUCUUCCAGCAGGAGCAAACAAAACAGAUCAAGACUCAGCAGUGCAGGGCUGCGUCUCCGAGCUCUGGGAAACCUUCCUCCCCUGCUUCAAUCACUGAAACCCAGCAUCCCUACAGUUUACACAACGUACGACCUCCUCUCGUCUGAUCAGUGAUGCUUGAGGAAUAAAGUUAUAAAGCACCUGUUUGUCAGGAGCUGCACUGGCAGGGAAAACUACAGAGCAACAUUCUAGACAAGGUUGCACAGGAAUCCAUCAAUUCACCCUUUUUAUAUCCAAAACCUGUAAACACUAUGCUUUUUUUCUUUAAUGUAAAACACAUUGUUGUGCAAAGAAUCUCAAAAAAAAGAUAUUGCAAAAAAAAAAAAAAAAAAAAAAGAAAAGAAAAAGAACAUCUGAACAUUCAAAUUUGUGAUAUCCUUCAGUGAAGCAGCAAAAACAACGCUGAGGAGAGAAAACCCACGUUCACUGCAAGGUAACAAAGACGAGUGAAACCCCAGACCGGCUUACGUUUGUUUCUGACUUAGUAUAAACUGAAUCUAACAUCCAAGUUGAUGCACACUUUUAAAGAUGCAAGCAAAACAUCUGCACUGCACGUUCUGUCAUUUGGCCAUACUUCAUUUAAAAUACAAAAAAAAAAAAAAAAAUUAACCUUGACCACUUUCCUUUUACAAUAAAACAUAAACAUUGCUUUUAGUUAAUUUAAUCAUUUUAAUCAUUGAUAUAGUUUUGGACAGAAACCCAGUGUACAUAGUAUAUAAUUUACAGUCAACACUUUACGGAUAGGGGCCCAUUUGCGCCAAGAGGACUCACCUUUUUUCAUUAAUAUUUCAAGGAUUUCACAUUAGUGGAUGACUCGUUUUCACAACGGGCCAGCUUGAAAAACUUAAAUUUUAAAAAAAGGGGAAAAAAGACCAAAUCUGGUGUUGACCAUCUACUGGUGUAACUGUCGUCCACGCAGACUGACGGGAGAUUCCUAAAACAGAACCAAAACUUUUGCUAACAGUCCACUCGUGUCUCUGCGAAACUGCAGAGCUUAAUAAGCAUGUCGGUUAUAGUAAACAUCAUAUUUCUUUAGGCUCGUUUAUAUUCUCUUUACAUUCAGACUGGGAGAUCAUUUGUGCUGUGCGCUGCAGGGCUUCUAAUUGCAUCAAUGUGAGAUGCAAAUUUACUUGGGGCGAGUCAAAAACUUUAGCGCGGGGGGAAUUAAGGCUUUCGCCAAGUUUAAAUGGACACGCUUAGGCUUCGACCUAAACGCCCCUGUUGUCGUGUCAAACACCCAGCUGUGACUCUUGCUUGUGUUGUAAGCAGCUUUGUGAUGUGGGGGAAGAAAAAAAAAACCUGUCUUCUGGCACACUUGUAUUACAGGGGCCAGUGGCUCAAGUAAUUGAAUGCAAAGGCACACACGCAGACAGACUUCCACAAAUACUCAUCACUGUGUCGGGAGGCUGGCCUGACUGACUGAAGAGGAGAAAUAAGCAUUUGAGCAAAUGAAAGGAUGAAGCCUCUCAGCCGAGUCGACGACUGUGAGUGUGAACUCAAAUUAAAAUCGUAUCUGGUGAGUGCGUGCGUGUUACUGUACCAGGUGUGCUUAUCUUUCAGGAUGAAGGAGAAGAGCCUUUCCCUUUUAUCUGUUCCCCAGGUGCUGUUUCAAAGGCAUGUCCCUGCUCUGCCUCGGAGUAAAUGACCAAGAUAAGCGACUGUAGGCACGGCUGGAUUGACUGAUGUACAUUCACACGACAACAACACACACACACACGGGUACAGCUGAUACUGUAGCCCCCUCCUAACAGAUAGCCACAUAUGCAAUUUCUGUUGAUUCCUCACAUUCCUGACAAACUGAACCUGAGGAAAACUAUAAAUGCUCUGCAGACACAACAUCCAC
ensembl:lncRNA